GAAGGGUGGGGAAAGAUAAGCAAGGAGCACAACACAGUGCAGUGUUUCCGGCCAGCGCAUCCCUGAAGCAGUGUCAGUGGAAAGCGGUUUUUAAUAACCAGUCUGCCCAUUCAUUUCACUGUGUUUACCAGUCUGCCCAUUCAUUUCACUGUGUUUACCAGUCUGCCCAUUCAUUUCACUGUGUUUGUUGCUGGUUUCUCGAGCUCAGUUGAAGAUGGUGUUGUUGACGAUGAUUGCCCGGGUCGCGGAUGCACUCCCGCUCGCCGCAUCCAUGCAGGAGGACGAACAGUCUGGGCGGGACCUGCAGCAGUAUCAAAGCCAGGCCAAGCAGCUCUUCAGGAAGCUGAAUGAACAGUCCCCUCCGCGAUGCACCCUGGAGGCAGGGGCCAUGUCUUUCCACUACGUCAUCGAGAAGGGGGUGUGCUACCUGGUCCUGUGUGAGGCGGGGUUCCCCAAGAAGCUGGCGUUUGCCUACCUGGAAGAUUUACAAUCGGAGUUCGAUGAGCAGCAUGGGAAGAGAGUGCCCACGGUAUCCAGACCGUACUCCUUUAUUGAGUUUGACACGUACAUUCAGAAGACCAAGAAGUCGUACAUUGACAGCAGAGCCCGACGCAACCUGGGGAACAUCAACACAGAGCUGCAGGAUGUGCAGAGAAUCAUGGUAGCCAACAUUGAGGAGGUGCUGCAGAGAGGAGAGGCGCUGUCAGCUUUGGACUCCAAGGCCAGCAACCUGUCAAGCCUGUCGAAGAAAUACCGGAGUGACGCCAAGUACCUGAACACGCGCUCCACGUACGCCAAGCUGGCUGCCGUGGGAGUGUUCCUCGUCAUGCUGAUCGUCUAUGUGAGGUUCUGGUGGCUCUGAGGGGCCGCGGGGACCCGCUGAUCCCACUCCUUUAUACCCGGGCUGGAAUUACUUCCAAAAAUCUUUACACGUUCUGUGGUGUGUUUUAUUAAACCGCUGCACGUCCCAUUCUCUUUCUGUUUAGUAAGAAAUAAGACUCCCAUUGCAUAGCACCACGAGUCCACGCCUGGUUUUGCUAGGAGAGUAACAUCACACUGACUAAUCAAGCUCGUAAUAAAACCUGGAAUGUGUGUGACAGUUUGUGUUAAUUACAGCGAACCCCAGUAUUCACUGGUCUUUGGAAACACGCUGUUUCGUGGAACGGCCCGUUUGUUUGUCCAGCAGAAACGAAAGGAAAUGGGAUGAAACGAGUUCAAAUGAAACCCUGUUGGGAGUGUUUCUUGGGCGUUGUCAUCACUGCCUCGAUGCUGGUCUCUGCUCUGUUGUGUAAAUGAAUGGUUUUGCAUCUCAAGCGGUAGAUUUCAAAGGGCAUGUUUAUUCCCUAUGUCAGCUUGCACUGUGUUAUCUGAUGCUGGCUUUACCCUCCAUACCGGCAGCUCUGGAUUCUCUUAGCAGUAAUAUUAUUUUCAGCCAACUUCUAUUUUGUUACCCAUCUCUUUGUGUUUCAGUGUACUGUACUCUGAUGUGGGGGUGCUGGCUGGGUGGUCAGUGUAUUGUACUCUGAUGUGAGGGUGCUGGCUGGGUGGUCAGUGUACUGUACUCUGAUGUGAGGGUGCUGGCUGGGUGGUCAGUGUACUGUACUCUGAUGUGAGGGUGCUGGCUGGGUGGUCAGUGUACUGUACUCUGAUGUGAGGGUGCUGGCUGGGUGGUCAGUGUACUGUACUCAUGUGAGGGUGCUGGCUGGGUGGUCAGUGUAUUGUACUCUGAUGUGAGGGUCGUGGCUGGGUGGUCAGUGUACUGUACUCUGAUGUGGGGGUGGUGGCUGGGUGGUCAGUGUACUGUACUCUGAUGUGGGGGUGGUGGCUGGGUGGUCAGUGUACUGUACUCUGAUUUGGGGGUGGUGGCUGGGUGGUCAGUGUACUGUACUCUGAUGAGAGGGUGCUGGCUGGGUGGUCAGUGUAUUGUACUCUGAUGUGAGGGUGGUGGCUGGGUGGUCAGUGUACUGUACUCUGAUGUGAGGGUGCUGGCUGGGUGGUCAGUGUACUGUACUCUGAUGUGAGGGUCGUGGCUGGGUGGUCAGUGUACUGUACUCUGAUGUGAGGGUGGUCAGUGUACUGUACUCUGAUGUGAGGGUCGUGGCUGGGUGGUCAGUGUACUGUACUCUGAUGUGAGGGUGGUGGCUGGGUGGUCAGUGUACUGUACUCUGAUGUGAGGGUGGUGGCUGGGUGGUCAGUGUACUGUACUCUGAUGUGAGGGUCGUGGCUGGGUGGUCAGUGUACUGUACUCUGAUGUGAGGGUGGUGGCUGGGUGGUCAGUGUACUGUACUCUGAUGUGGGGGUGCUGGCUGGGUGGUGAGUGUACUGUACUCUGAUGUGAGGGUCGUGGCUGGGUGGUCAGUGUACUGUACUCUGAUGUGAGGGUCGUGGCUGGGUGGUGAGUGUACUGUACUCUGAUGUGAGGGUGGUGGCUGGGUGGUCAGUGUACUGUACUCUGAUGUGAGGGUGCUGGCUGGGUGGUCAGUGUACUGUACUCUGAUGUGAGGGUGCUGGCUGGGUGGUCAGUGUACUGUACUCUGAUGAGAGGGUGCUGGCUGGGUGGUCAGUGUACUGUACUCUGAUGUGAGGGUGGUGGCUGGGUGGUCAGUGUACUGUACUCUGAUGUGAGGGUGCUGGCUGGGUGGUCAGUGUACUGUACUCUGAUGUGAGGGUGGUGGCUGGGUGGUCAGUGUACUGUACUCUGAUGUGAGGGUCGUGGCUGGGUGGUCAGUGUACUGUACUCUGAUGUGAGGGUCGUGGCUGGGUGGUCAGUGUACUGUACUCUGAUGUGAGGGUGGUGGCUGGGUGGUCAGUGUACUGUACUCUGAUGUGAGGGUGGUGGCUGGGUGGUCAGUGUACUGUACGAACUGGGAAUGACAAAGCAAUAGUAAUUUAUUUAUUUUUUCCUUUUUAAAUAUCCUUAAUGACUGGGUGGAGAGUUUUAUUAAUCUCAUUAAUGAAUGUUAUUUCAUAGUGUGGUCUUUAUACUAGCAGGCAACUGUAUAUUGUAUAUUUCCAAGCAAUUCAACUUAAGUAUGCACCUGAUUAAAUUAAAUUGCACAACAGCGGAACAGUAAGUAAUGGUUUUUUUUUUAUUAAAAUAACAUUGUUUAUUGCUUUCGCUGCAGUUUCUCAAGCCUGUUUCCUGAAGGUUUAGGGUGUUGGAACCAGAUCUUAAUAAAUGCUGCUCUGGUGGUCUGGUGAUCCAGUAUUGCUUCACAUUGUCUGCAGGCUGCUGCUGCUUGCCCUGCACUCCACAGCACAAGGAAUGCAAGUUGAGUAAAACACGGCACAGGACAGGAAACGUCAGUAAAUAACAAUCGUAAAUCAGAAUAAAGCAGUCUGUAUUUCUAUAUAAAAAGUACACAUUAGACUGCACUGCUAUAAAUACAUUGCAGGUGUUUUCACCAAUGACAGUGGAGUUGUGCCGUUUGCAGUGCGAUGAGUAAUAAUAAAGCAGCUGUGGCUCUGGAGGAAUGCGUCUCUCUUGCAAUCAGUGUGGCCACGACUCCUCACAGCUCAAUGAAAAGGGUUUCAUUAACUGCAGCCUGGGACCCUCCUACACAACCAGGUCAAAAUCAUCCCUCUGAAAACGAGAGGAGAAGAGCGAGUUACGAGAGAGAGAGACACACACACACACACACACGGGAGGGGGACACUGUAGAGGAGACACAAGGACGGUGGCUGCGACUUGCAGUAAAUCUCCCUCACACACACACACACCCUCGUGAAACAGUGUGCGGACUGGACUGCGUGCCGUUGGCAGGACUCACCUCGUCACAAGGAAGGCAGGGUCUGUGAUGAUCUCAGGACCGACGCGCACAUCUGAAGCAGAGAGUUAAGGGACUGACAACUCCAUCAUCAUCAUCAUCAUGUCAACAAUAAAAGCAGAUUCACAUGUUUGAAUUCACCCCAAAACUUCUUUGGAAAUCAUUUUAAAAAUUGGCAGGCAGGUUUAAAAAGAAUUCCAGCAGCUGCUAGCUGGUUUAACAGAACUGUGCAGACUGUAGCUUCAGCGCGAUGCGAUCCACACACACACACAGAAGUGGAGGAAGUGCAAGUCACAGCAGAAAUGACAUUAAAAGAGGGGAAUGUGGAAUCCUGCGAGACGUGACGGCAGGGACUGGUGGGUGCCUGGUCACCAGUCCAGAGGGCAGAGAGGCCACGGUGUUUCUGAGCUCAGCACAGUCUGACUGGGGGGAGUCUCCAGUACAAUUCAAGGCUGGCAGAGUGCUGUCCGUGGGCAGCGGAUGAAGGUACAGGAUCAUUAAUCUGGGUUUUGAAAUAACCCACAAUGAUACAGAGGACUUUUCAUAAUACUUUGAGGCCAACUUUCCAAGCGUGACCUUUUCUGCAAUUUGGAAACUAUGAAAAAUGUUCACAAAGACAAUGCAAAAAAAAACACACACACACACACACACACACACACACACACACACACACACACACACACACACACACACACACACACA